CUAAGACGUUGAUAGGUUGGGUGUGUAAGCGUAGCGAUACGUUGAGCUAACCAAUACUAAUGAACCGUGAGGCUUAACCUGACAACACCGAAGGUGUUUUAG
rnacentral:rRNA from 1 species